CCCUUAGAGUUUGAUCCUGGCUCAGAAUGAACGUUGGCGGCGUGGAUUAGGCAUGCGAGUCGUACGAGAACCCGCAAGGGGGAAAGUGGCGAACGGGGUAGUAAUGCGUAGGUGACGUGCCCUGUGGUCGGGGAUAGCUUAGGGAAACUUAAGGUAAUACUCGAUGAUCCCGGAAUGUUUGAAGACGAUCCGGGCAAAGGUGUGAUUCCAUCACAGGAGCGGCUUGCGUGGUAUUAGCUAGUUGGUGAGGUAACGGCUCACCAAGGCUGCGAUGCCUAGGGGAUGUUAGCGCAUGAUCCCCACCACUGGGACUGAGAUACUGCCCAGACACCUACGGGUGGCUGCAGUCGAGAAUCUUCGGCAAUGGGCGAAAGCCUGACCGAGCGACGCCGCGUGUGGGAUGAAGGCCCUUGGGUUGUAAACCACUGUCAGAGGGGAUGAAAUGCACGAGGGUACUCCCUUGUGUUUGACAUAGCCUCAGAGGAAGCACGGGCUAAGUUCGUGCCAGCAGCCGCGGUAAGACGAACUGUGCAAACGUUAUUCGGAAUCACUGGGCUUAAAGGGUGCGUAGGCGGUCUUGUAAGUAGGGUGUGAAAGCCCCCGGCUCAACCGGGGAACUGCGUCCUAAACUGCGAGGCUAGAGUGAGGUAGGGGUGUGUGGAACUUCCAGUGGAGCGGUGAAAUGUGUUGAUAU
rnacentral:rRNA from 1 species